GAACACAAGGAUGCACCCAAAAAAGGAAAGUUGUGCACUAUAAAUCACCGUCCCCCUUCUUCAGAUGGAGAAACUGAGGCCUCCAAUGUGAAACUGACCUGCGCGCCAGGCCACAACGUCUAUCCAGGUUGCUGGACCCAAUGCCCCGGAAUAUGGGAUAGACUCAGCCAGGUGGCAGCUCAGGGGACUUCAGAAGGAGCCAAUCAGAGAGUGUGGAAUAUUGAUCAUUCCUGGAGCAGAGGCUCUUUGGAGUGCAGUGGCCUAAACACUGCAGCCUUUACCUCCUGGACUCAGGUGAUCCUCCAGCCUCAGCCUCCCAUGUAGCUGGGAC